UACGUAGGGGGCAAGCGUUAUCCGGAUUUACUGGGUGUAAAGGGGGCGCAGACGGCGAUGCAAGCCAGGAGUGAAAGCCCGGGGCCCAACCCCGGGACUGCUCUUGGAACUGCGUGGCUGGAGUGCAGGAGGGGCAGGCGGAAUUCCUGGUGUAGCGGUGAAAUGCGUAGAUAUCAGGAGGAACACCGGUGGCGACGGCGGCCUGCUGGACUGCAACUGACGUUGAGGCCCGAAAGCGUGGGGAGCAAACAGG
rnacentral:rRNA from 1 species